rnacentral:rRNA from 1 species
CUACGGGUGGCUGCAGUGAGGAAUUUUGCGCAAUGGGGGAAACCCUGACGCAGCAACGCCGCGUGAGUGAAGAAGGCCUUCGGGUCGUAAAGCUCUGUCAACUGGGAAGAAGUUACGAUUGGUUAAUAGAAGUUUGUAUUGACGGUACCUGUGGAGGAAGCGCCGGCUAACUCCGUGCCAGCAGGCCGCGGUAACACGGGGGGCGCAAGCGUUAUUCGGAAUUAUUGGGCGUAAAGGGCGCGCAGGCGGUCUUGUCCGUCAGUUGUGAAAGCCCGGGGCUCAACCUCGGAAGUGCACUUGAAACAGUAAGACUUGAAUACGGGAGAGGAAAGCGGAAUUCCUGGUGUAGAGGUGAAAUUCGUAGAUAUCAGGAGGAACACCGAUGGCGAAGGCAGCUUUCUGGACCGAUACUGACGCUGAGGUGCGAAGGCGUGGGGAGCAAACGGGAUUAGAUACCCGAGUAGUC